UAACUCCUGUUUCUAUAAAUUAAACAUAUUGGGAGAAUAAAUUCUUGAGGGUAUAAAGUAGUUUUAAGUGAUACUUUUCAUCUCACAAUGUUGAAUUUCAAUAAAUUAAAUAGAUGUUACAACUUCUCUUGCCCACUUGUUGGGGCCCUCAUAAUGUAAGCAGUUUAAUGUUGCCUGCAUAUUUAUAUUGCCAUUUCAAAUGUUCUCUUUUAAAUUAUUACUGUUAAACUGGUUUGGCGACACAAGGCAAGACACUAAACUAUUUAUGCCUUCAUUUAAGGCGUGUUAUCAGGUUACUUUGAGUUUACAUUUUUCCCUAGAAGAGCAUUUCACCUUUGUACAUACAUAUAUAUAUUUUUUUCUUUUCUCUUUUCUUUAAUGUACGCAUUUCUCUCUUUAAAAAAAGUGUUAGGGUUUAAACAAAUAAAUAUAUUAUUAAAUGUGGCAUAGAUUUUCACCUUCCCUUAUAGCUGUAUCACACUGCAACAUAAGAAGACAACAUAGCAGCCAUAUAUAUUAAGUUUGUUAAUUGCUAAAAAAUUGGCUUAA